rnacentral:rRNA from 1 species
GCAUUCGAUUUUGCCAACGACCAUUGCAUCGGUUCUCGUCUGAUCACCGAAAUUAAGCGUCGUCGGGCGCGGUUAGUACUUAGGUGGGCAACCGUUUGGAAACACCGCAUGUUGUUGGCA